rnacentral:rRNA from 1 species
GACGAACGCUGGCGGCGUGCCUAAUACAUGCAAGUUGAGCGAUGAAGCUUGGUGCUUGCACCAAUUUGAAGAGCAGCGAACGGGUGAGUAACGCGUGGGGAAUCUGCCUUUGAGCGGGGGGCAACAUUUGGAAACGAAUGCUAAUACCGCAUAACAACUUUAAACAUAAGUUUUAAGUUUGAAAGAUGCAAUUGCAUCACUCAAAGAUGAUCCCGCGUUGUAUUAGCUAGUUGGUGAGGUAAAGGCUCACCAAGGCGAUGAUACAUAGCCGACCUGAGAGGGUGAUCGGCCACAUUGGGACUGAGACACGGCCCAAACUCCUACGGGAGGCAGCAGUAGGGAAUCUUCGGCAAUGGCCGAAAGUCUGACCGAGCAACGCCGCGUGAGGGAAGAAGGUUUUCGGAUCGUAAAACUCUGUUGGUAGAGAAGAACGUUGGUGAGAGUGGAAAGCUCAUCAAGUGACGGUAACUACCCAGAAAGGGACGGCUAACUACGUG